rnacentral:rRNA from 1 species
UACAGAGGGGGCAAGCGUUGUUCGGAAUUACUGGGCGUAAAGGGCGCGUAGGCGGCCUUCUAAGUCGAACGUGAAAUCCCCGGACUCAACCCGGGAACUGCGUCCGAUACUGGAAGGCUUGAAUCCGGGAGAGGGAUGUGGAAUUCCAGGUGUAGCGGUGAAAUGCGUAGAUAUCUGGAGGAACACCGGUGGCGAAGGCGACAUCCUGGACCGGUAUUGACGCUGAGGCGCGAAAGCCAGGGGAGCAAACGGG